AUGAGGACUGCUCUGCUAGGCCACAUCAUGGAGGAAUCGCACCGAUGUAGACCCCUGUCGCAGCCAAGCAGUAGGCUCGUGCUCGUGGAGGAGGCAUCCACAGUGAACCAUCGUCUUCCCCAAGGAGUUAGGCCACCCACAUGCAAAAGGCCGCGGGAUGGCUUUCCUAGGCCCAAAAGCCCGCAAACCCACAAAAAGGUGAGCGAGGCGACGGCCGCAAUUUCGCUUCUCAUCCUCUCCCCGUCGCCGACUCGACGGAGCGCCAAGAAACCAAGAACCCACCGUCGUCACCAUCCCCACCUCCCCUUCCCUGCUCGGUUUCUCUCUCCACCGCGCGCCUCUGCUCCCCAGCGACCGAUGGAUCAGUUCCACCAUGGCCACCACGUGCGGCUGCGCAGCCCCGUGCGCGGCGCGUACCUGCACGCCGACGAGGACGGCCACGGAGUCUCCCUCCACGGCCGCCGGGAUUCGAUGAACGUGGCCUGGGCGGUUCAUCUGGUCGAGGGUGACGACGCGCAUUACCUGCACCUCCACAGCGCCGCCUACGGCCGCUACCUCGCCUCCACGACCGCGUCGGCGCCGCUCGGCCACCACGGGCUCCGCGUCGAGCAGCGCAACUACAACCAUACAUACGAGACCGCACUCGUUUGGCUCGCCAUCCUGUCGGACUCCGGGGACGAGAUCCUGCUCCAGCACUUCAACGGUCGCUUCCUCCGCGCCAACGGGAGGUACCUCCCCUGGAACAACGGCGCCAGCAUCGACUACAUCAACGACAUCCACCACAUCAGCACGAUGAUGCACUGGGUCGUGGAGGACGUCCCCGCCAGGGACACCAUGCCUCCCCUUCCACCUCCGACCGGGCUUCCCUUCCCCGCCGCCAUGGUGCCGUCGCGGGUGAUCACGUACGCGUGGAGGAGCUUCGACGGGGACCUCCUCGCCAGCGGCACGAUCGUGUUCACGGGGAGAUCCGUGUUCCGCCUGAGGGAGGAGCUGGCCAGGAGGCUGGUCGUGGGCGCCCUUGCCCUUGCAAACUUGGGCGCCGACGACAUCGUCAUGUGCCUCCCCACACGUGACGGCCGGCUUUUCCCGCUCCUCGUCGACCUGCCCAACAGCCGCCAGAGCCUCCACGUCGCCAUCGCCAUCACCGAGACGCCCACCCACGCGGCGCUGCGGUUCGCGGAUGUCGAUGCAGAGUAG
rnacentral:rRNA from 1 species